rnacentral:rRNA from 1 species
AUGAACGCUGGCGGCGUGCCUAGUACAUGCAAGUCGAGCGAACAGAUGAGGAGCUUGCUCCUCUGACGUUAGCGGCGGACGGGUGAGUAACACGUGGAUAACCUACCUAUAAGACUGGGAUAACUUCGGGAAACCGGAGCUAAUACCGGAUAAUAUAUUGAACCGCAUGGUUCAAUAGUGAAAGACGGUUUUGCUGUCACUUAUAGAUGGAUCCGCGCCGCAUUAGCUAGUUGGUAAGGUAACGGCUUACCAAGGCGACGAUGCGUAGCCGACCUGAGAGGGUGAUCGGCCACACUGGAACUGAGACACGGUCCAGACUCCUACGGGAGGCAGCAGUAGGGAAUCUUCCGCAAUGGGCGAAAGCUUGACGGAGCAACGCCGCGUGAGUGAUGAAGGUCUUCGGAUCGUAAAACUCUGUUAUUAGGGAAGAACAAAUGUGUAAGUAACUAUGCACGUCUUGACGGUACCUAAUCAGAAAGCCACGGCUAACUACGUG